rnacentral:rRNA from 1 species
AAAAUUAAAGGUCUAAUCUGCCCAAUGAUAAUUGAAUGGCCGCGGUAACUUGACCGUGCAAAGGUAGCAUAAUUAUUAGUCUUUUAAUUGAAGGCUUGAAUGAAAGAUUGGAUGAAAAAUAUACUUUAUUAACAAAAAUUAUUUAAUUUAUUAUUUAAGUAAAAAUUCUUAAAUAUACAAGUGGGACGAGAAGACCCUAUAGAGUUUUAUUUUUAUUUUUAUUGUAAAGUUAAAGAAUUAAUAUUUUUAUCAUAAAAAUAAAUUUUUUAUUGGGGUGAUAUUAAAAAUUAUUGAACUUUUAAUUGAUAUCUCAUUAAUAUAUGUAUAAUUGAUCCAAAUAAAUUUUUGAUUAUAAGAUUAAAUUACCUUAGGGAUAACAGCGUUAUUAAUUUGAAGAGCCCAAAUCGAUAAAUUAGUUUGCGACCUCGAUGUUGGAUUAAGGAUAAAUUUUGAAGUAGUAUUUAAAAUUAUAGGUCUGUUCGACCUUUAAAUUCUUACG